GGAGCCGUGGUGUAGCGGUUAACAUGCUGGCCUGUCACGCCGGAGACCGCGGGUUCAAUUCCCGUCGGCUCCGCCA
rnacentral:tRNA from 1 species